GUACUCAGUUCGGAUUGUAGGCUGCAACCCGCCUACAUGAAGUCGGAAUUGCUAGUAAUCGUGGAUCAGCAUGCCACGGUGAAUACGUUCCCGGGCCUUGUACACACCGCCCGUCAAACCAUGAGAGUUGGCAACACCCGAAGCCUGUAGCUUAACCGCAAGGAUGGCGCAGUCGAAGGUGGGGUCGAUGAUUAGGGUUAAGUCGUAACAAGGUACC
rnacentral:rRNA from 1 species